rnacentral:lncRNA from 1 species
UUCACACAUUUGUUCCAAUCACGAUGAACUUAUAUAAUCUUUUCCAUACACUUGCACUCUGAGAAAUCUGAUACAUCAUGUCUUGCCUUCGUCUUGUUCAGGAAAUAUCCAUGAACCCAGAAGAGUUUCUGCAUUGUCAAGUCCUCAGGUUUGUCUACAGCAUUUGCUAUGUCAUUCCAUCCAAUGCAUUGCUUCAGGUGGUCAAGCCCCUAACUUCAAGUUCUUUUUCUUUGCACAAAAAGAGGAUGAGCCUUCUACUUAUCUUGUAGUGUGUCAUUAAUUCCUCAACAUGUAAAGCGCAAUUAAAGAUCAAAGCUGAUGUCCGGAGCACAUCACAGGCCUUCUCAGCAUUAUUUCAAUCGGCUUCAUCCAGAUUCGGUUAGCCUUAGGUCUGUAUUAAGUCGUGAUCUUGAUUCUUGUGGGACAAAGAGAUAGUUUCGUGUCGCGGCCUACAUAGUUUGAUGUAAUUCCCUUCUUUGAAUGGAUCAAAAUUAGAGAAAAUUGUAGCAACUAGAGAGAACUAGGGGUUUGUGAAAAUAAGGUGAAGAUUGCGAAAUGUUUUUCAAAACCCAUUAAUCAUGUUUUUACAAGUGACAGAAAUUAUUUUCUCCAUUUGUUGGCCACAUGGCAACUUUCCAUUGACAACUUACAUUUCACAAGGAUGUGUGUUUGUUUGAAAACAUUAUGGGCCAUUGAUCAAAAUAGAGGGUUGAGAUUAGCUUAAACUUUACUCUCAUUUAAUUGAUAUGGACGGCAGGAGAGAGGACCAAAAAAUGACACUCA